rnacentral:rRNA from 1 species
UACUCCUACGGGAGGCAGCAGUGAGGAAUAUUGGUCAAUGGGCGAGAGCCUGAACCAGCCAAGUAGCGUGCGGGAUGAAGGCCCUUGUGGUCGUAAACCGCUUUUAUCAGUGAAUAAAGUGCAUCACGUGUGGUGUCAUUGCAGGUAGCUGAAGAAAAAGGACCGGCUAAUUCCGUGCCAGCAGCCGCGGUAAUACGGAAGGUCCGGGCGUUAUCCGGAAUUAUUGGGUUUAAAGGGAGCGCAGGCGGGAGUAUAAGUCAGCUGUUAAAUAUCAGGGCCCAACUCUGUUAUGCAGUUGAAACUAUAUUUCUUGAGUACGCACAGGGAUGGCGGAAUUCAGGGUGUAGCGGUGAAAUGCUUAGAUAUCCUGAAGAACUCCGAUCGCGAAGGCAGCCAUCCGGAGCGUAACUGACGCUGAGGCUCGAAGGUGCGGGUAUCGAACAGGAUUAGAUACCCUGGUAGUCCGCACGGUAAACGAUGAAUACUCGCAGUUCGGUCAUUAUGAUUGAGUUGUCCAGCGAAAGCGUUAAGUAUUCCACCUGGGGAGUACGCCGGCAACGGUGAAACUCAAAGGAAUUGACGGA